UACGUGGGGGGCAAGCGUUGUUCGGAAUUACUGGGCGUAAAGGGUGCGUAGGCGGCUUUCUAAGUUGGAUGUGAAAACUAUGGGCUCAACCCAUAGCCUGCAUCCAAAACUGGAGAGCUUGGGUUCUGGAGGGGAAAGCGGAAUUCCUGGUGUAGCGGUGAAAUGCGUAGAUAUCAGGAGGAACACCGGUGGCGAAGGCGGCUUUCUGGACAGACACCGACGCUGAGGCACGAAAGCUAGGGGAGCAAACAGG
rnacentral:rRNA from 1 species